AUGCUGCUAGUAGAGCUGCUCCGCUGCCAGAUCCAGGAGUGGUACCCGGCAUUCCGCCGCCACACCGUCCCCACCGUCACCAUCCCCCUCCCCGCCGCCUUCCUCCGCUACCUCGCCGGCCAGCCCGCCCACCCCGUCCCCGACGCCCCUCACCAGGACGCGGAAGGGCCUCCCCCAUUCCUCCUCCCGUCGCUCGCCUCCGGCCGCACCCCCUUCCCGCCGCUCCACCUCCCGGACCCCGUCGACCACGACGACAGCUCCGACCUCUUCUCCGUCUGCGACGACGACGACGAUGACGAGAGCCCGCCCCUCACCGCCUUCCCCGAGCUGGAGGCCGCGGUCGACGCGGCCAUCGCCGAGCUCGGCGGCGCCGCGCUCCCCAAGCUCAACUGGAGCGCGCCCAAGGACGCCGCCUUCAUGUCCGCCGACGGCACCGUCCGCUGCACCUGCUUCGCCGAGGUCGCCAUGCUGCUCCGCUCCUCGGACUGCGUCGCGCACGACCUCUCCUCCGCGCGCCCGUCCUGCCAGGACUUCGUGUGCGCCAGGGAAGGUGUUCGACGGAAUGCCGGACAGGGCAGUGGUGCCAACCAGGCGGGUGCUCCAUCGAAUGGCGGAGGGAGCACCAGUGGUGCUGGUUCUCUGAGUGAUCCUCCCACUGAGGAUCGCAAUGAGGGAGGCAGGCAAGCUGCUGCCGACAGUGAUGCUUCGGAAGACGAUGUUGGACAAGAAAGCGGCGAUGAUAGUUGGGUGGACGAUGGGUUCCAGUACUACCUCGCCCUCCGCAAGUGGUACCCGGGCCUGCGCCCCGAGGCAGAGUUCCGAUGCUUCGUGCGGGGACGGAAGCUGGUCGGCGUGUCGCAGAGGGACACAUCUGCUUACUACCAAUCGUUGCCUGGGUGGAGUUCUGAGGUGCAGCCGAAGAUCGAGGAGUUCUUCGAAGAAGUUGUUGAGUCGCAGUUUGCUUCUCAGAAUUACACAUUUGAUGUGUAUGUCAGAGCAGAUGGCCGGGUGAAGCUGAUUGAUUUCAAUCCUUGGGGUGGCUAUACAUUGCCGCUUAUGUUUACAUGGGAGGAGCUUGAGGAUGAGAAGAGAGGAGAGGACAAGCUGGAGUUUAGAGUGGUAAUGGAGCAAGGUGCAGUGAGGCCAGGAUUAAUGACAGCAGUGCCGUAUGAUAUGAUGGAUUGGGGAGAAGGGAGCGGCUGGGAUGUUUUUCUGAAGAAGGCUGACAAUGAACUGAAUAGACAGAUGGCCUCAUUAGCUAUGGAUUCGUAA
rnacentral:rRNA from 1 species